rnacentral:rRNA from 1 species
UACGUAGGGGGCAAGCGUUGUCCGGAAUCAUUGGGCGUAAAGCGCGUGUAGGCGGCCCGGUAGGUCUGAUGUGAAAACUUGGGGCUCAACCCCAAGCCUGCGGUCGAUACGGGCAGGCUCGAGUUCGGUAGGGGAGACUGGAAUUCCUGGUGUAGCGGUGAAAUGCGCAGAUAUCAGGAGGAACACCGAUGGCGAAGGCAGGUCUCUGGGCCGAUACUGACGCUGAGGAGCGAAAGCGUGGGGAGCGAACAGG